AGUUUUGCAGGUUUGCAUCCAGCUGUAUGAUAUUCUGCUGUGCAAAUCCAUGCAAAACUGA
rnacentral:pre_miRNA from 1 species